rnacentral:rRNA from 1 species
GUCUACGGCCAUGCCACCUUGAACAAGCCCACUCUCGCCUGAUUUCGGAAGCUAAGCAGGGUCGGGCCUGGUUAGUAUUUGGAUGUGAGACCACCUAAGAAGGCCAGAUGCGGUAGGCG